rnacentral:lncRNA from 1 species
GUUUAUUUAUACCAAAGUAGUUCACCUAAACGUGUACCGAUAAAUUAUAAUGAAUCCUAAGUAGUUAAUAUUUUCUCUAAUAUUUGUCUCUAGAUUCUCGAUAAGCUGUCUUCAGGAUUCGGGUUCAAUACAGAUAAACUCGAAUCUAUGAUGGGGCCAAAACAGAAACAGUCAGUUAGUAACACAAAAAAUAACUUUAAACAAAUCUAAAUAAGUUCACACAAAAUUAGUAUUAUUCCUUUUAAAUGAUGUUAGUAAUCGAGAUCAACAAAAAAUAAAUUUGAAUUCUGGAAAAAGCACUCCUCAUUUCUAAUCAUUUAACAUCAUACAAAAAUGCUUCAUCGGAUUCAUCAACAACAGUUACUAACAAUUCAUUGGUCGAUAUGUCAUAAUGCAGAGUCCAUGGGUCGUUAAGUUCAUCUCCACGUGUGAGAAUUUGUCUGCAGCGCUGUCCAUCAGGAGAGAGAAACGACAACGUUGUAGUAAUACCCCGCUACAUACACGUUACCAUCAUUGUCUACAGAUAUACCUAUCGGAUCCGCAGAAGCCUUUUAUCACAGAACGUCCACAGUAUGU